CCCAAGUCUGUCGACCUGGGCUAGGAGGUUCGCUGCUGCUGUAACACCUGUACUGUAGACAGACCCUCAUUCACUCUGUGGCCUUAGACAAAACACUUCUUCCUCUCUGGGUUUCCUCCCAUGUAAAAUGAGGACAAUACUACUUACUCACCUAGUUCUAGAGGUGCUUCCAGUUUUAAUUAGCUAAUGUCUGUACAAUAGUUUGUAUAUGUAAAAUGCCAUAACAUUGCUUCAUCACAUUCUGCUUACUAUUUAUUUUUGUGGUUUAUUCCUUUAAUGCACAUACAGACAAUUGUACAGGUUUUUGGUUACAGAAUAAUAUGGAAGGUGUAACAAACCGAAAAGUUAAAGCCAUAUCUGUAUAAAGCAGACUGAGUUUAAGUGAUACAGUGAUAUAUACUUACAUUCCUGCUCUG